rfam:Camelus ferus unplaced genomic scaffold scaffold595, whole genome shotgun sequence.
CCAAAGGCUCUUUUCAGAGCCCCCCAUAAAAAGACGGAGAGCCAC